rnacentral:tRNA from 1 species
GGGAAUGUGGCUUAGUGGUAGAGUGCUUGCCUAACAUGCAUGAAGCCCUGGGUUUAAUUCCUCAGUACCA